CAGUAGCCGCGGGAAUACGUAGGUGGCAAGCGUUGUCCGGAAUUAUUGGGCGUAAAGGGCUCGCAGGCGGUUUCUUAAGUCUGAUGUGAAAGCCCCCGGCUCAACCGGGGAGGGUCAUUGGAAACUGGGAAACUUGAGUGCAGAAGAGGAGAGUGGAAUUCCACGUGUAGCGGUGAAAUGCGUAGAGAUGUGGAGGAACACCAGUGGCGAAGGCGACUCUCUGGUCUGUAACUGACGCUGAGGAGCGAAAGCGUGGGGAGCGAACAGGAUUAGAUACCCCCGUAGUCCCUGUCUUUAUACC
rnacentral:rRNA from 1 species